rnacentral:lncRNA from 10 species
CUGGGCAGGAGUGUUCUGGUAGAGACCAGAAGGAUGAGUGGGUAGCCAGCUUUCAGGGAGGGAGCGGCACGCAGUCCUGGCAGAAGCAGGAGGUGCCAAGCCCCAGUGGUAGGAACAUACCUUUUCCUUUUUUUUUUUUUUUUUUUUUUUUGAGACAGUCUUGCUCUGUCACCCAGACUGGAGUGCAGUGGCGCGAUCUUGGCUCACUGCAACCUACGCCUCCUGGGUUCUAGCAAUUCUCCUGCCUCAGCCUCCCGAGGCUGCCAUUAUGCCCGGCUAAUUUUUGUAUUUUUAGUAGAGAUGGGGGUUUCACCACGUUGGCCAGGCUGGUCUUGAACUCCUGACCUCAGGAUCAGCCCCCAUUGGCCUCCCAAAGUGCUGGGAUUACAGGCGUGAGCCACCGCACCCGGCCGGAACAUGCCUUUUAGAAAGUUCUCUGGCCAGGCUCUGGAGCCACAGACUCCUGGUCUCCUCCCUUGGCCCAAGCCAGCCAAGAAGCUCGUGAUCUCAGGCCCAGGGGAUGCACGGACCCUGCCUUCCCAGCAGCUUUGUUCAGGCUACCUCGCCCACCCCAGCGAGCCCCCUGGGAGCCCAUCCGAACUGUGGCCAGACCCCUGUGCUUGGAGCAGCCCUUGACCCCGGAUCCCAACACACCUGUUAGUGGUGACAGAGCAUCUGGUGACCACAGGUGGCUUGGAUUAACUCCAGGGCUGGCACCUUCCCAGACCUACCCCUACCCUGAGACCCAGCUGGGGGUGACUUGAAGGGUAAGUGAAGAGGUUUCCAGUUGCAUCAGGCAUUGAAGCAGACGUUCAGGGGUGCAGCUAGCAGCCGGCUCUCCCGGAUGGGCCAUGGGGAUUGGGGAUGGACCCUUAGCCUUCCUGCUUCUGCUGUGGCAGGGGAAGGGACUUGAGGGUUAGAUUAGGGUCUCAGGAGGGAUCCUGCACUCUAUUAAGCACAAGAUGGGGUAGGGGUGUCUGAUGUACAGAAUCUGGACCCCCACGCCCAGCCCUCCUGGCACAGCAGUGGAGAAGACGCCACCUCCAUUGAAGGGACAGUAUAAUAAUGAACACAUAUCUCGCGGCCAGAGUCACCGAUUACUGAUAUUUCACCCAUAUGAGCAUUAUCCCUCUCGGAUACAUACACAUCGUUUUCCCCGCGAGCCAUCUGAGAGUCAGUGGCAUACACUGAUACUUCACCCCAAAACACAUCAUGCAAUUCCCAGGCACGAGGACGUUCCUGCACAACCACAAUACCAUCACCACCCUCAAACUUAAGAAAGGAAUGUUCCAGGGAGCACCUCCUUUUAUAUGAAUAUGGCCUAAAGCACAGCCCAUACGCCAGGUGCCCUCACAACCUUGUCCCUUAUACCUUCUCCCUUUUAUCCAUCCAG